rnacentral:lncRNA from 1 species
UAAAAAUCAAUUGUAAGAUAAUUUGUAUCUUAGAUUAUGGAUUUUAGAAUUGGAGUAGUAUGUAUCUUAACUAAUAAUAUUGAUAUUUAUAAAUUCUACGGAAUUUGAUGUCCUCCUGUUUUAACCCACGUAUUUGUAAUGACCUUCGUUACACUGCAUAAUGUGUGUAUCACACACAAGUCCUAUUUAUGUGUAUUAAAGAUGUUCGUAGUCAAAAUUACAAGCUUUUUUCCAGCUUUUUAAGUUCUGUUAUCUUUAUAGAUUUAAGGAAUUACACAAUUGGCGGGAAUGCAUUAAUCUAUAUUUUUCAUCCGUUUGAAAAUUGAUAUCUUUAUCAACAACUUUGAAAAAAAUAGCAAGGAUUUUGUUAACAUUUAAAAGAUAGCAAUUUAAUCAAUAUGUAACAACAUUAUGGAAAAAAGGAGGAGCUGAUUGGCAAAAAUAUUCACAUGGAGCAGCGCACAUCGUUAACUUAAUAACAUAUAAUCACUUGAGUUGACCAUUAUUAAAACGAUAGCCUC